rnacentral:rRNA from 1 species
UGGGGAAUAUUGGACAAUGGGGGCAACCCUGAUCCAGCGAUGCCGCGUGUGCGAAGAAGGCCUGCGGGUUGUAAAGCACUUUGGUUGGGGAAGAAGAGCGAUUGUCGAAUAGGCAAUUGAAUUGACGUUACCCAAAGAACAAGCACCGGCUAACUACGUGCCAGCAGCCGCGGUAAUACGUAGGGGGCAAGCGUUGUCCGGAAUUAUUGGGCGUAAAGCGCGUGUAGGUGGACUGGCAAGUUGGGUGUGAAAUCCCGGGGCCCAACCCCGGAAUGGCAUUCAAAACUGCCAGGCUAGAGUCCCGGAGAGGAAGGCGGAAUUCCCGGUGUAGAGGUGAAAUUCGUAGAUAUUGGGAAGAACACCGAUGGCGAAGGCAGCCACCUGGCUCGGUAUUGACGCUGAGGCGCGAAAGCGUGGGGAGCAAACAGGAUUAGAUACCCUGGUAGUCCACGCCGUAAACGAUGUGUGCUAGCCGUCGGGCAGCUUGCUGUUCGGUGGCGCCGCUAACGCAUUAAGCACACCGCCUGGGGAGUACGGCCGCAAGGUUA